rnacentral:SRP_RNA from 1 species
GGGUAAGUCUUACACGACCAGCUCCUGCUGAAUCUCCCCAGGGCCGGAAGGCAGCAAGGAUAAGGUGGUUGUAGCGGUGCGAUGUGAGUAGCUUACCCAUU